ACCUGGCUGGCUUUGUCAGUGGAACAUGAGACUCUUGAUCUCAGGGUCGUAGGUUCAAGCCCCACGUUGGGUG
rnacentral:tRNA from 1 species